AGCGAACGCUGGCGGCAGGCUUAACACAUGCAAGUCGAGCGGGCACUUUCGGGUGUCAGCGGCGGACGGGUGAGUAACGCGUGGGAACAUGCCCUCUGGUUCGGAAUAACUCAGGGAAACUUGAGCUAAUACCGGAUACGCCCUUUUGGGGAAAGGCUUGCUGCCGGAGGAUCGGCCCGCGUCUGAUUAGCUAGUUGGUGAGGUAACGGCUCACCAAGGCGACGAUCAGUAGCUGGUCUGAGAGGAUGAUCAGCCACACUGGGACUGAGACACGGCCCAGACUCCUACGGGAGGCAGCAGUGGGGAAUAUUGGACAAUGGGCGCAAGCCUGAUCCAGCCAUGCCGCGUGAGUGAUGAAGGCCUUAGGGUUGUAAAGCUCUUUUAUCCGGGACGAUAAUGACGGUACCGGAGGAAUAAGCCCCGGCUAACUUCGUG
rnacentral:rRNA from 1 species